UACGAAGGGGGCUAGCGUUGCUCGGAAUUACUGGGCGUAAAGGGCGCGUAGGCGGAUAUUUAAGUUAGAGGUGAAAGCCCAGGGCUCAACCCUGGAAUAGCCUUUAAUACUGGAUAUCUUGAGUUCGGGAGAGGUGAGUGGAACUGCGAGUGUAGAGGUGAAAUUCGUAGAUAUUCGCAAGAACACCAGUGGCGAAGGCG
rnacentral:rRNA from 1 species